CGGGGGGAGCAAGCGUUGUUCGGAUUUACUGGGCGUAAAGGGCGCGUAGGCGGCCACGACAAGUCACUUGUGAAAUCUCCGGGCUUAACUCGGAACGGUCAAGUGAUACUGUCGGGCUAGAGUGCAGUAGGGGCAACUGGAAUUCUCGGUGUAGCGGUGAAAUGCGUAGAUAUCGAGAGGAACACCUGCGGCGAAGGCGGGUUGCUGGGCUGACACUGACGCUGAGGCGCGAAAGCCAGGGGGAGCGAACGGGAUUAGAUACCCCGGUAGUCCUGGCCUUAAACGAUGAAUGCUUGGUGUCUCGGGUUACAUAGUCCCGGGGUGCCGUCGCUAACGCUUUUAGCAUUCCGCCUGGGGAGUACGGUCGCCAAGACUG
rnacentral:rRNA from 1 species